GAAGUGGUGGUUCAAGAAUUUGUGUCUUCCAUGCAGAAGACCCAGGUUAAAUUCCUGGCCAAUGCA
rnacentral:tRNA from 1 species